AAGGUACUAGUAUAGCCGACAAUACACUGCUUUGUCAAGGCAGAGUUAUGGGUUAAACCCCCAUGUACCUUA
rnacentral:tRNA from 1 species